AAUACAUGAUAUGAAUAUUUAUAAAGACGUUCUUAAAAUGGUUGUUUUAUGUUGAUGUUGCUGCUCGUCUUCCAAUAGGACUAGAUCAUACCACGUGUCCCGGAAGUAACACGGAGGCUUCUUUAUCGUCUUUAGUUUUUCCAAAUUUUCAUGAUUUUCAUCGAUCUAUUCCUGUUAUACGAUUGAUGUUAUUCAUUGCCAUGAGUUAUAGAAAGAUGGAGUGUUUUUAUGUAGUCACUUUAGAACCUUGAGGUAGAUUUGUAGAAAGCAGAAUCAGGUUCUUUCCUUUGAGUUGUGGUCGGUAUCGCUUCUCGGCCUUUUGGCUAAGAUCAAGUGUAGUAUCUGUUCUUAUCAGUUUAAUAUCUGAUACGUCCCCUACCCGGGGACCAUAUAUUAAAUUGAUUUUUGGAACAGGGAGAUGGAAUAGGGGCUUGCUCCGUCCACUCCACGCAUCGACCUGGUAUUGCAGUAUCUCCAGGAACGGUGCACCCCCUUCUCUCUGUGAAUGAUAAAUUCUUUAAUUUGAAGUAUCAAUGUCUAAGAAGAUUCUUUGGUUAAGAGUUGUCAUUAUGAUAUGCUGGAAACAAUAUAUUAGGUUUCACACAGAAAUCAUGACUAUUUAUGUGUGUCAGCGUCUUGAGCACCAGUGUUAUUGUAUGUUUGCUAGAUUUAAAUGAACACAUCCCAGGUGUUCUUCCCAUCUUCCCAAUAAUAAUCCUGUUGUGUUCUUAUAGAAUGCUUGAGAUUGUGUUCUUUGAUGAUUUAAAAGUUAUAAAUUCAGUUCGGUUGCAUUAUUGGACAAUUCAAUAGGAAAAGAACUUUCCUAUUACAUUACAGUGUGUGUGUGGCAGACUUUGAUGACAUGUUUGAAGAUUGCUGACCAAAUGGAGAAUGCACUCCCUUGUGAUUUUCCUUUUCUUCGUCUUUUUUUAGGGCACUCGAGCAUUGGUGGUUCAGGGGAACAAUUCUGGCCUGCCACGCAGAUGUUUUAAAAACCCAAGCUUGAGAGUGAAACAUCUGAUCACUGUCCAGAGGAAUCAACGGCCAUCCUGAUGAUGCUGCGCGGUGUGAGUCUGCUGCCAUCCAUCUAAAUUCAUCUUUACCUGAUCAGAAAAAGCCCGCCCUCUGCCUCCACACUGCACUCCUACCAGAGUUCCACCGAGCAAUGCUGCUCCUCAGAGUGUUCGAGCUGGAAUCAUGUGUGGCAGCACUUUGUGGAAACCCUCCAGGCUGUUGCUUCCUCUGAGACCUUCCUAGUAAGCCACAGCCACACCGUUGACCAUCAAUUCUUGACAAACAGGAGGACUUAUGUGUUUGGAAUUAGUGUGCAUCUUUCUCUUCAUUGGUACCAAAUGUUAAACUUGAUCAAUGUCCUAAUUGAUUGUUUACUGAGAGGUUUUUAUUUAGUCCAGCUGGAUCUUUUACCUCCUCUAUUGCCACCUGGAGGAGCUGGAAGGUUUCCUGCAGCCCGAGUGUUGACCUCUGCACGAUGCUUCAGCUGCUCCCCUUGACGAGCAGAUCCAGGUCACGAGAAGAUCCUCUGCUAGAUCUUUUAGAUCCUCUUCAGCGUGACACUCGUGGACCUGUCACCAAACCUUCACCAUGGUGUUCCCAUCUGUUCUGUCCUGCAGAAGUCUUAACAGCGAGUCAUCAAAGGAUUCUUUUCAAAACCAUUCAGAUACUGUUUAGCCCCCUCACUCACAGGGCACUCGAGCAUUGGUGGUUCAGGGGAACAAUUCUGGCCUGCCACGCAGAUGUUUUAAAAACCCAAGCUUGAGAGUGAAACAUCUGAUCACUGUCCAGAGGAAUCAACGGCCAUCCUGAUGAUGCUGCGCGGUGUGAGUCUGCUGCCAUCCAUCUAAAUUCAUCUUUACCUGAUCAGAAAAAGCCCGCCCUCUGCCUCCACACUGCGCUCCUGCCAGAGUGCCACCGAGCAAUGCUGCUCCUCAGAGUGUUCGAGCUGGAAUCAUGUGUGGCAGCACUUUGUGGAAACCCUCCAGGCUGUUGCUUCCUCUGAGACCUUCCUAGUAAGCCACAGCCACACCGUUGACCAUCAAUUCUUGACAAACAGGAGGACUUAUGUGUUUGGAAUCAGUGUGUGUGUUUCUCUUCAUUGGUACCAAAUGUUAAACUUUGAUCAAUGUCCUAAUUGAUUGUUUACUGAGAGGUUUUUAUUUAGUCCAGCUGGAUCUUUUACCUCCUCUAUUGCCACCUGGAGGAGCUGGAAGGUUUCCUGCAGCCCGAGUGUUGACCUCUGCACGAUGCUUCAGCUGCUCCCCUUGACGAGCAGAUCCAGGUCACGAGAAGAUCCUCUGCUAGAUCCUUUAGAUCCUCUUCAGCGUGACACUCGUGGACCUGUCACCAAACCUUCACCAUGGUGUUCCCAUCUGUUCUGUCCUGCAGAAGUCUUAACAGGCACUCGAGCAUUGGUGGUUCAGGGGAACAAUUCUGGCCUGCCACGCAGAUGUUUUAAAAACCCAAGCUUGAGAGUGAAACAUCUGAUCACUGUCCAGAGGAAUCAACGGCCAUCCUGAUGAUGCUGCGCGGUGUGAGUCUCCUGCCAUCCAUCUAAAUUCAUCUUUACCUGGUGAGCAGUAGCGGUUCUAGGCACGGGCCGUCCGGGCGGUGGCCUGGGGCGGAAAACUGAAGGGGGG